GAUGAACGCUGGCGGCGUGCCUAAUACAUGCAAGUCGAGCGAACGGACGAGAAGCUUGCUUCUCUGAUGUUAGCGGCGGACGGGUGAGUAACACGUGGAUAACCUACCUAUAAGACUGGGAUAACUUCGGGAAACCGGAGCUAAUACCGGAUGAUAUUUUGAACCGCAUGGUUCAAAAGUGAAAGACGGUCUUGCUGUCACUUAUAGAUGGAUCCGCGCUGCAUUAGCUAGUUGGUAAGGUAACGGCUUACCAAGGCAACGAUGCAUAGCCGACCUGAGAGGGUGAUCGGCACACUGGAACUGAGACACGGUCCAGACUCCUACGGGAGGCAGCAGUAGGGAAUCUUCCGCAAUGGGCGAAAGCCUGACGGAGCAACGCCGCGUGAGUGAUGAAGGUCUUCGGAUCGUAAAACUCUGUUAUUAGGGAAGAACAUAUGUGUAAGUAACUGUGCACAUCUUGACGGUACCUAAUCAGAAAGCCACGGCUAACUACGUG
rnacentral:rRNA from 1 species